rnacentral:ribozyme from 1 species
GAUAAAAACGAAGAAAAAACGAGAAAAAAAUUACAAUUAUGUGAGACAUAUAUCUUAAUGCCUUUUCUUUCUUUCUUUCUUCUUUCUUUCUUUCUUUCUUUCUUUCUUUC